GGUGGAUGAUGAGAAAAACAAGGCUUGUUUUUCAAAACAUUCGUAGUGGCCGCCUAGGAGCUUUCAACCAUGAUAGGCUUGAGAGCUUGUGCUGUUCAGUUCUUCCUUGGAUGUCUGUGACC